CGUCAGAGACUCAGGUUCGAUCCUGACGAUGGGUGCUGUCUGAGCGGAGCUUUCCCAUUUCAUUCGACCUCGCAACUUGUUUGGAUUAAACUCCAUCUGCCAUUUCUCUGCCCACUUCUACACCUAAUCUUAGAUCCAACUGAACAAUUUGACAGCCCUCCUCACUGAUUGCAAUUCCACCAAUUUUGACGCCAUCUGCACAUUUACUAACCAACCUUACAUACAAGUCGUUUAUACAACUCACAAAGAGAGAUCCCAGCACAUAUCUCUGUGAUACUCCACUGCUCACAGACCUCCAGCCAGAAUAUCUAUCUCCCACCACAACCCUGUCUUCUAUGAAGUAGCCAGUUCUAAAUCCAUAUGACCACGCCACCAUGGAUCCAAUGCAUCUUAAUCUUCAGGAUUAGUCGACCAUAAGGGACUUUAUCUGGUAUCUUACUCAAAUCCAUACAGAGACAAGACAAAGAAACAUGGCCUGUUUGUAGAAUUCUCUAUCCACACCAAGUAUACAAUCCAUGAUCACAUUGAAUGGCGGUGCUGGCUCGAAUGGCCUACUCCUGUACCUAUUGUCUAUUGUCUAUCCCCAGCAGGUUCUGCUCUUACCUACCCAUUGAUAACUACCAGAUAGAAAAUGCCACCAUUGUUUUCCUCACAACCACAUACAAUACACAUCUCCCACCACCGCCAGCCCAUUGACUUUGGCUUUUACUGGGCUAAAGGAGCUCCAUAAAGGCAUGUUUUUGGUGAGUACGUGUGAGCUAUGAGCCCACAGAGGUGGGGAUUCACAUUCUAUGUGAACUGGAAAAAUAGAUUCAUAGAACAGUACAGCACAGGAACAGGCCCUUCAGCCCAUCAUUUCUGUGCUGCACUUGAUGCCAGAUUAAACUAGCGACAA